rnacentral:rRNA from 1 species
UACAGAGGGUGCGAGCGUUAAUCGGAAUUACUGGGCGUAAAGCGCGCGUAGGCGGCUUUGCAAGCCGGAUGUGAAAUCCCCGGGCUUAACCUGGGAACUGCAUUCGGGACUGCAUUGCUAGAGUAUGGGAGAGGGAAGUGGAAUUUCAGGUGUAGCGGUGAAAUGCGUAGAUAUCUGAAGGAACAUCAGUGGCGAAAGCGGGUCUCUGGGCAACAACUGACGCUGAGGAGCGAAAGCGUGGGGAGCGAACAGG